ACUUCUGACCACUGGAAUGUUUUGAAAGAAAUAAAUCUGAAAUAAUCAUCUCUACUAUUAUUGACAUUUCACAUUCUAAAAAAAAAGAGGUGAUCCUAACUGACCUAAAACAGGGAAUUGUUACGAGGAUUAAAUGUCAGGAAUUGUGAAAAGGUGAGUUCAAUGUAUUUGGCUAAGGUGUAUGUAAAUUCUGACUUCAACUGUAUAUUGAUGGUGGUUUAAUCCAUAGUAUAUUGAUGGUGGUUUAAUCCAUAUGUAUAUUGAUGGUGGUUUAAACCAUAUGUAUAUUGAUGGUGGUUUAAUCCAUAUGUAUAUUGAUGGUGGUUUAAACCAUAUGUAGAUUGAUGGUGGUUUAAACCAUAUGUAUAUUGAGGUGGUUUAAUCCAAUGUAUAUUGUGGUGUUUAAACAACGAUAGGGAAAAACACAGAGUUUACAGUAGCAUCGUAGCCUGUCUACAAGCAGAAGAUUAAAACUAUAUGUAAUAUAGAAGAUAUAUGAAUGCAUUAGGGAGUAGAAUAGAGCAGGGUUGACUAUGUCUCUGCUCUGGGGCUAAACAGGCCAAUACCUCAGAGACUGUGUGGGCAGCAGCACACAGACAACAAGACAGACAGAUAGCAUCGCUAUAAAACACGCCACUGGCUAGUAGAAAAAUCCCAU
rnacentral:lncRNA from 1 species